GGACUACACGGGUAUCUAAUCCCGUUCGCUCCCCUGGCUUUCGCACAUGAGCGUCAGAAACGAGCCAGGAGGCUGCCUUCGCCUUCGGUGUUCUUCCAGAUCUCUACGCAUUUCACCGCUCCACCUGGAAUUCCGCCUCCCUCUCUCGCUCUCAAGUCGUACAGUUUCGCCACAACCUGUGGGAGUUAAGCCCCCACCUGUCAGCGGCAACUUACACGACCGCCUGCGUGCCCUUUACGCCCAAUAAAUCCGGACAACGCUUGCCCCCUACGUAUUACCGCGGCGGCUGGCAC
rnacentral:rRNA from 1 species